CUAAAAUAAUUGUAAUGUCCCGAGACAUGACGUUAAACUGCGCUCCUCUUUUUUGGCUUUUUUGGAGCUUAAAAGAGCCUUUCUUCUAUUCCAUCAUGAUGUCUGCCUCCUCUCUAAAUGUAAUAUUAGCUAAUAUGUUAGCAUAAUAAAAACUAGUAAAUAUAAGUAGGUUUAAAGUAAAAAUUAACUAAAAUAUUAAACUAAAUGUAGUAUUAACUUACACAUAAAUGUAGUAGAAAUAAAACACAGAUUCAAACUAAAAUAUUAGCAUAAUAUAAAACUAGAAAAUAUAAGUAGUUUGAAAGUAGACAUUAACAAUUUAAACUUUAAAACUGAAUGUAGUUUAACUUACACCUAAAUGUAGUAGAAUUAAAAUCUUUAUAGCCUGUAACCUAUCUACAUUGUCAUUGUUUUGCUGUCAACAAUGCCUUUGUUUGCUUAGGUUGUAAACAGUAGUUAGUUUAAAAAUCUAAUUAAAAAAAAUGUCUAAAUGCUAGCACUAAUUUAAUAGAUAUUCUAAUUAAAAAUAAAAUAUAAAAUCAUAACUACUGUAGUAGAAUUAAAAUUAAAAGAUUUAAACUAAUAUGUUAGCAUAAUAAAAACUAGUAAAUAUAAGUAGGUUUAAAGUAGAAAUUAACUAAAAUUUAAAACUAAAUAUAGUAUUAACUUAAACAAAAUGUAGUAGAAAUAAAACACACAUUGAAACUAAA